rnacentral:rRNA from 1 species
UGGGGAAUAUUGCACAAUGGGCGCAAGCCUGAUGCAGCCAUGCCGCGUGUGUGAAGAAGGCCUUCGGGUUGUAAAGCACUUUCAGCGGGGAGGAAGGCGAUAAGGUUAAUAACCUUGUCGAUUGACGUUACCCGCAGAAGAAGCACCGGCUAACUCCGUGCCAGCAGCCGCGGUAAUACGGAGGGUGCAAGCGUUAAUCGGAAUUACUGGGCGUAAAGCGCACGCAGGCGGUUGAUUGAGUCAGAUGUGAAAUCCCCGGGCUUAACCCGGGAAUUGCAUCUGAUACUGGUCAGCUAGAGUCUUGUAGAGGGGGGUAGAAUUCCAUGUGUAGCGGUGAAAUGCGUAGAGAUGUGAGGAAUACCGGUGGCGAAGGCGGCCCCCUGGACAAAGACUGACGCUCAGGUGCGAAAGCGUGGGGAGCAAACAGG